rnacentral:miRNA from 1 species
CAAACUUGAUGGUGUUUAUGACGUCGAAUAUCGACGUCAUAAACACCAAACUUGAUGGUGUUUAUGACGUCGAUAUUCGACGUCAUAAACACCAAAC